rnacentral:rRNA from 1 species
UACGUAGGGGGCUAGCGUUGUCCGGAAUCAUUGGGCGUAAAGAGCGUGCAGGCGGCUUGGUAAGUCCGCUGUGAAAGUCCAGGGCUCAACCCUGGAAAGCCAGUGGAAACUGUCAAGCUAGAGUCCGGAAGAGGCGAGUGGAACUCCUGGUGUAGCGGUGAAAUGCGCAGAUAUCAGGAAGAACACCAAUGGCGAAGGCAGCUCGCUGGGACGGUACUGACGCUGAGACGCGAAAGCGUGGGGAGCAAACAGG